UUUUUUUUUUUUUUUUUUUUAAGAUUUUAUUUAUAUAUAUAGUUAAGAGAGAGAACAGCAGGAUGCAGUGCAGGAGGAAGGGCAGGGGGAGGCACAGGGGGAGAAGCCGACUCCCCGCUGAACAGGGAGCCGGUGGUUUUGAUCCCAGGACCUUGGGAUCAUGACCUGAGCCAAAGGCAGACGCUUAACAGACUGAGCCACCCAGAUGCCCCUCGAAGGCUUUUUAUCUUGAGGAAGAAGAGAAGUUGAGAAGGCUGUGAGGUGAGAGGAAAACCAGAGCAUGGCCCGGUGAGGAAGUGUCUCAACCAGGAGGGCACAAUCAACUGUGAAGCUACGAAUGCCGGGUUAACUUACUACCCACAUCUUUCCCAGACCUGGGAAACACAGCCGGUAGCAGGCUCAGCAGCCAGAAGAGUUCAUCAGAGUCUCAGUAGGCACAUAUAAACUUACAGAUCACAGUGGCUAAGUGUUAAGGACCCUGGAGCCAAACUACCUCAAGUUGAAUCUGGGCUCCAUUUCUUUCUAGUUGUGAGCUGUGUAAUCGUGGGCAAAUCAUUUAACCUGUGAUUUGGUUUCCCCACCUGUAAUACAGGGAUGAUAACAGUACUUGCUUCCUCUGGUUGUCAUGAUUAAAUGUCAAUACUCAUAAAGGACUAAAUAUACUUGGCAUAAAUAUAUAAAUAUACUUGGCAUAAAGUAACCAUCACAUCUGUUAAAAAAAGAGAAAUCUCCCUGUAAUGUUAAAGAUAGGGAAGGACAACUUGGCUUAUAAAGUACUAACUUGCAUUCUCAAGAAGUGGGCACUAGACUUAUGUAAUUGAAUUAAUCAGCAGGACUGAUAGGAUAAUUCUAUUCUGAUUAAAAAAAACAGCAGGAAAUAAACUGUGGUUGGAACAUGUCUAGUUCUUGGCUAUAGAGUACUGAAUUUAGGAUAUAUUUUCCUUAUCAAGUUAUAUUUCAAUUGUCAUAAGGAAUGUCCUGUUAAAUGCUUAUUGGUUCAGAACACUAACCUAUUACUCUUUUGCAGUUGGAUUAUACCCUUUUCUCCUUCCAAUCUAAAAUAACCUCAGAUGAAAAGUGACAAUAAUAAAUAAACACUUUAUCCACAUUAAGAAAUAGAAUCCUUUUCUUGGGACUGGGUAUUACAAAGAAUCAAACAAAUAACUUUUUGUAUGAAAUACUGAAGUAGGCGCUUUGAAGGAUUCAUACACGUUUCUGGCUCUUAUUAGUGUGGAAGAUAAAAUGCACAAAAUGAGGUGAUUACACAAUGGGAGUAUAUGGCUAAGGAAUGAUAUGGUAAGGAUUGUAAGAUAUGAUGGAACUCAAUUCUGGUUGUAAAAGUUUCAUGAACGAAGUGAGAUUUUACCUUGGGUAUACUUUAAGGUGUGCAAAGACUCAAUUUAUCUCUGGUGUGAACUUCCUUAGGUAUUUACUAGAGAAAGUGCUUCAGCAAUGAAGGAUAACUAAUAGGAAGAUACUAGAUCCAUAAAACUAAGGCCUCGGGAUCCCUGGGUGGCGCAGUGGUUUGGCGCCUGCCUUUGGCCCAGGGCGCGAUCCUGGAGACCCGGGAUCAAGUCCCACGUCGGGCUCCCGGUGCAUGGAGCCUGCUUCUCCCUCUGCCUGUGUCUCUACCUCUCUUUUUCUCUCUCUCUGUGACUAUCGUAAAUAAAUAAAAAAAAUAUAGUGCUCUAUGUCCACUUACUAACACCUCUGGGGCUGCCUCUCCCUCUUUUCCUAUGCUGGGCCCCCACCCCUCCGGGUAGGAAGCCUCUACAUUCCCCCUGGUAUCCUGCUUCAUAGUAUUCAUAUAGUUGGUAAUCCUUUGGUAAUCUCUCUCUCUCUCUGUGUGACUAUCAUAAAUAAAUAAAAAUUAAAAAAAAAAAACUAAGGCCUCAAUAUAAGUGACCAGCAAAGGGAAGUGCCAGGAUGACGGCUCUUCAGCAGGACUAGUCAUACACACAGAGUGGAGGAAGAGAACAGGGGAGUGGGAUCCCUAGAUGGCGCAGCGGUUUGGCGCCUGCCUUUGGCCCAGGGCGCAAUCCUGGAGACCUGGGAUCGAAUCCCACGUCGGGCUCCUGGUGCAUGGAGCCUGCUUCUCCCUCUGCCUGUGUCUCUGCCUUUCUCUCGCUCUUUCUCUCUGUGACUAUCAUGAAUAAAUAAAUAAAACCUUUAAAAAAACAAAAACAGGGGAGUGAGGGGGUAAAUGGAACUGAUGGGAUUUGAUGUGUUGCAGUGCUUCAUUUGAUGUGACAGAUGUGAGGUAUUGGAUUCUCUGGAGCAUUUGGAAAAAUAACAAAUAAGAAACAAGCAAUAGGUGAAUCAAAAACACCACUACCAACAAAGACAAAUGGAAGAACAGCAUACUUAGCUUGGGGCAGGGGUUAGGUGUUAAAAAAAAAUAUAUUACAUUACUCAUCUCAACAGUGAGUCAUAGGUAGUCAUGAUAAGUACCGCUGACUUUAUCCAAAAAUUAUUACACAACUAUUUGCAGAAUGGGGUAGAAAGAGCAGUAAGAGACUCCUCACUACCCUCAACUCCCUCCUCCUAACUCCUCAACUACCCUAAUUCUGAAGAUGUCUAUGCCAUUAAAAAAAAACAGCAACGUGUAAUUUAGAAAUAGGGAGGUACAUUCCAGCAGGAGCCGAAAAAAGUUGGAAGCAUUGCCCCGAGGACUGAAAUUUGGGGGAGGGUUUUGGCGAGUAGACCAGUUUUUCAUUGCGGGCCUGGAGAAAAGGCGUUAUGUAGAAAAACAAAACAUACUGAUUAAAAAAAUUAGAGGUGGAUGUGGGGUGCCUGGGUGGCUCAGUCGGUUAAACCACGGACUCUUGAUUUUGGCUCAGGUCAUCAUCUCAGGGUUGUGAGAUCAUACCUGUCAGGCUCCACACUGGGUGUGCAGCCUGCUUGAGAUUCUCUCUCUCUCCCUCUACUUCUCUAAAAAAUAAAUUAACUAAAGAGGUAGACAAAAAAAAAACCCAAAAGAUUUUGAGAAGUGGUCUUAUACAGGGGCCGGAUGAAAUAGGCGAUGAGAGCUCUUUCAUUCAUAGAAUAUUUAUGAAGCACUCUUUUGAGCCAGGCACGAGGCUAGGCCCCAGGAAUACAAGAGGGAACGAAGACAUAUAUGGUCCCUGCCCUCCGGACCUUAUGUUUACUAGAGCAAAUAGACAAUGGGAAAAAAUAAGUAAAUAAUGAAAGAAGUACAGAUUAUACUGAUGUGAUUAGAAAAGGCUAUUGUGCUAGAAAACGGUGGUGAGGCAUCUCCCAUCAGGUGGGAGCUGUUUAAAGGCAGGGAAGAGAGUAUAAAGGGUAUAAUCCAUAACCUCAUCCCGAGGAAUUCCAACAUUUGAAAGGAGCCAAUAAAAAGCUGCAGAGGCGGGGCCUGUAAGGCACAGCAGGAAAGUCUUAUCUUCCUCAGCAAAACCCUAUCUUUUUUUUCUUUUUCCUCAGCAAAACCCUUUUUUUUCCUUUUUCCUCAGCAAAACCCUUUUUUUUCUUUUUCCUCAGCAAAACCCUAUCUUUUUUGUUUUUUCCUCAGCAAAACCCUAUCUUUUUUGUCUUUUUCCUCAGCAAAACCUUUUUUUCUUUUUCCUCAGCAAAACCCUUUUUUUUCCUCAGCAAAACCCUAUCUUUUUUUCUUUUUCCUCAGCAAAACCCUUUUUUCCUUUUCCUCAGCAAAACCCUUUUUUGUUUUUCUUCAGCAAAACCCUUUUUUUUUCCUCAGCAAAACCCUUUUUUUCUUUUUCCUCAGCAAAACCCUAUCUUUUUUGUUUUUCCUCAGCAAAACCCUAUCUUUUUUUUCUUUUUCCUCAGCAAAACCCUAUUUUUUUUUCUUUUUCCUCAGCAAAACCUUUUUUUUUCUCAGCAAAACCCUAUUUUUUUUUUUUUGUCAUUUUUCUAAAACUGCACCACAGUUUGCAUUUAUUUUGACAAGCUGCGUGACAUUCUUGGUUUUCAGAUGUUUGCAGCAGUUCUGGAAAUAACUGGACGCUCAUCCUCGAAAACCCAAUUUACGAUUACCUAGAAAGCCAUUUACACAUCCCUCCGGUGAGUUAUUCCAGGGUAGCCGCGAUCUCUGUUGGAAGCAUAGCCACUGGGGGGUCCCCCUCCCCAUCUCUGC
rnacentral:lncRNA from 1 species